rnacentral:rRNA from 1 species
CGUGUAGGCGGCUUGACAAGUCAGAUGUGAAAGCCCUGGGCUUAACCCAGGAAGUGCAUUUGAAACUGUUCAGCUUGAGUAAGGGAGAGGAAAGUGGAAUUCCUGGUGUAGAGGUGAAAUUCGUAGAUAUCAGGAGGAACACCGGUGGCGAAGGCGACUUUCUGGCCCUAUACUGACGCUGAGACGCGAGAGCGUGGGUAGCAAACA